UUGAAUGGUUUGUAAAUUUAUUAAGUAUAAAAAUUUAAAAUUUAUUUUUUUAAAGUGUUUUUUUUUUUAUAAUUUUGAGUUUUUUUUAAGUGUGGAUUGAUAGGGUUAUAUGGAAGUAUGGAACACAUAGGGACACAUGGCACACAUGCACCUAAUAAAUUUCUUUAUUGUUUACUGUUCUUGUUUUUACCCCUUUUUCUUGUUCUUGCCGAAAAGAGAGAGAGAGAGAGAGAGAGGGAGAGAGAGAGAGAACGGCAGAAGAAGCAACAGAAGAAGAAGGAGAAGAAACACCCAGUUCGCCAUCGUCACCGGUCGCCGGGUCCUCGCCAUCGUCACGUUUGGAUAGGAAAGAAUGUAUGAGUAAGAGGCAUCAAGCCAAAUACUCACAAAAAGGCUCUGAAGCUGGAUCCAAGAUGCGGGUGGAAACUGGAUUAUUGGUUUGCAAAGGAUAAUGCAGGAUGUUUCUAGUUUGGAGGCUGAAAUUGGAGCCCUCAGGGAUGGACUUCAGUUGGCCCUCUCCAAGGAAAUGGAUGGAUUGGCAGCCAUUUGCUUAAUCACGGUUACGGACUAACCAAAACACUUUGCUUGAUAACCUUAUUCCGUGAUUGCUGAUCUUUGACGCAGCUGUUGGGAAUGGAGGAGACCAAUCAUGUCUAUCGGGAAGGUAACAAGUGCGCCAAUAUGCUAGGUAAUAUGUUUUGUGACGUUGGAUUGGAUUUCUGUAUUUUCUACAUUGCUCCGUCGUGUAUUGAUUCACAACUCCGCGAUGACUCAAAUGGGGUUGCAUACCCCAGACUAUUGUAUGACUCUUAUUUCUACGACUGCAUUGUCGACUGGGUUGAAUAGAAAGCCCUCUAGUGGGUAAAUUCCAUC